GAGCCAACAUUAGUUUCAGUCACAGAGGAUAAGGAGCACUCACCAAUCUGUGAGCAGGCUGGGCGGGUGACAUGCACCACUUGAAGAACAGAAGGAAAACAACCUUCAAGCAUCUUCAUUUCAUCUUGGGAACCAAGCCCCCUAAGCUGAACUCCUGUAAAGAGACCUUCUGACAUCACUGCAACUCUUUCUGAGAGGAGGAAUCAGCCACAAGGAAGCUAGAACUGAACAUACUUUCUGGUAGCACUGGGUUUGCAUUUAUACAUUUGGGUUGAAAGCUUGCUGUGGUGUUCCUGAUAUGCUCUAACAAGUACCAGAAGUGAUUCUUCUUCUUUGUUCACAAUGAAGACUGGAAAGUACACAUGGUUACACAAAAACAGAAUAAAGGUGUGAUGAGGACAAGUUGAAAGCAGCAGAAGAGACUACAGGUGAAUAAGCAAAGGAAGGACUAAAUGAUAACGGAUAUGACUUUCUGUCCAGGAGAUGGGACUCCUAAAUGUAGGAGAUCAUCAGAGUGGACAAUGAGUUCUGGUGUUCUCUGAGGUCUCUAUCCCUGGGGCUCAUCUGCUUUGGAACUUACAACAGGAAGAGAGCCAAGUAUUUGGUCAUUAUCAGUGAUUUAUGAAACCCACAUUUUUUUUCCAGGCAAGUAUUUGAGAAUACUCCUAGUCUAUUUUGUUCCCUCUCCUAUUCUCUCUUCUGUUACCUCGCUGCUGAUGUGUGCUUCCCUUGAUGGAAGUCAAAACUAUUCAUGUAUUUUCCUAAAUAAAUAAAUCCCCAAUGUUUCUUGUAACACAGGUGUUCUUGCUUAUGUGAACCAAACAUAAGUGCCUCUGUACUUUCUUUUUCUUAAGAGGAAAGGAAAAGAUCAGUAAAAACAUAAAGAGGAUGAAAAUAAAGGGUCUCUUCUGGGUGGGUGUUUAAAUGAAAGAUUUGAUGUUGCAGAUUUGUCAAGUUGUGAAGGAUAACACAGAACAACAUUUUUAGUCUUUUUCAAAACCCCUAUGUAUCUGUUUGAGGCUAUGAACAUGUGUCCCUGAGGACUCAGGUGAUAAAUAACAAUAACCCGUAGAGCUGGCGUUCUGCCUUAAAUUACUGAGAACUUCAGAGCAAAGCAAAUCGGCUGUGGUAGAUGAGUGAGCUAGUGCCCACACAUUGUACUGAAGAGCUUAAAAGUGAGUGAAGAAUUUGUAGUUUCAUGGGUUCUCAGUAUAGUGGGUAAGCCUCAUGCUCAGGAUACUACAAAGCUGCUAUGUUAUGAAGUGUUCUUUUACUUUUUCUUUAUAAUCUUAAGGUCUGCCUACAAUUUUCAGGUGAGAUUUAACCCGAAGCCUUUCAGUUCUGUUUCAGGUUCUCCCACUAUUAAGCCUCAUCAUUUAUUUUCCACAGUUCAAAAAAGUUCAGCUCUUUAAAAGUUUAGUAAUUAUUUUCCAUUCCUACUUUUCUGCACAAUUAACAUGAAUAUAUUUAAGAAUUCUUCAGUCAGACAGCAACACAUACCAUUAUUGCAAGCAGUGUUUGGUUUCAGACUAUUAUAUUUUUCAGCUAAAAAUAUAGGCAUUUCACAUGUACAUUUUUCAAUUUCACUGUGCAGUAUUUCCACCUGCAGGACACAGGGCACUGCCAGCAUUUCAGACUCUGACCUCUUUCUGGCUGAUAGAGUAAGGAGGUUGUUUGGGCCAGCAAAGCAGAAAAGCAAAAGCAAAACUAACUGCAUUUCUGGGUCUAUCUGGGAGGCCGGAGACUUAAUACAUUUAAUAAGCAGCUAAAAAAGAUAGUUUAUAACAAAUAGAUCUGUAAAUACUAACUGAUGAAAAAGCCCCUUCCACAUGAAUCUGGAACAUAUAUAUUUUCUAAACUGCUGGUGUUACUACAAAUAUUAGGGAAGGCUGACCUGUAUUUUUCUCUGUG